rnacentral:rRNA from 1 species
AAUCAACGCUGGCGGCGUGCCUAACACAUGCAAGUCGAGCGGGAAAGGGGGCGUUCGGCCCUCGAGUAUAGCGGCGGACGGGUGAGUAACACGUGGGUAAGUUUGCCCUUGGGUGUGGAAUAACUCAGGGAAACUUGAGCUAAUACCGCAUGACAUCCUUUUCUCACAGGAGUUGAGGAUCAAAGCCGGGGACCCUUCGGAGCCUGGCGCCUGAGGAGAAGCCCGCGCCCGAUUAGCUAGNGGUUGAGGUAAUGGCUCACCAAGGCUUCGAUCGGUAGCCGGCCUGAGAGGGCGGACGGCCACACUGGGACUGAGACACGGCCCAGACUCCUACGGGAGGCAGCAGUGGGGAAUUUUUNUCAAUGGGGGAAACCCUNAACAAGCAACGCCGCGUGGAGGACGAAGACCU